AGGUUUGCCAUAUCCAGAUGGGGCCUGGAGACCUCUCAGAAUUGCAUUGAUCUCCAGAUGACAGAGCCCCGCCUCUGCAGCCCGAAGGAGCAUAGGAUGGGAACUACCAUGGGGGCCAAUCCACAUCUGCUUCCGGGGUAGGCAAGCCCCCCUCCCCGCACCCAAUCACUUGCUCACGCACCGUACAAAACGUCCGGCUGCGCUGUUCAUGACCUCAGGUUAUCUGACUCUGAAGUUCCAUCUCAGUAAGGAGCGAGGUAGCACUUACAGGUAAGAAGGAGAUGGGGCAGUGCGGCUCACUGAUUUGUGCUGGCUGCCCCAUCACCUGAACUCGCCUGACCGCUAGCCUUGGCAGGGGAGAGGAUGGUGGCAGCAUCCCCUGCCUGCCCCAGAGGCAGUUGUCCGGAAAACUACUCUUGACCAGAUGUUUGUAACUACCUGUUAACUUCCUCCCUUAAAGGUAAAAUCACCCCAAAGCAGAGAGCACCCUCACCAGAGGGUCUUGCAUCAGCUGGUCGCUGCUGCUGCUGCUCUCUACUAUGUGCAUCUUUUCAGAUGUUGUCGGCUUUGCCUUGGCCAUGGACCAAGGCAAAGCCCUCAUGUAUGUCUUUCUCUUGCAGGCACGUCGUGACCCAUCCGGGAGAUGUUUGCUUCCUCCCCCCACCCCAUAAUCCUCUGCAAGUGUCAUUCAGAUCCAGCCCAGGAAGCAAUAUCUCAAGGCAGUCCACAUCUCAGCCUCACCCC